rnacentral:rRNA from 1 species
AUUGAACGCUGGCGGCAGGCUUAACACAUGCAAGUCGAGCGAGCGGCGGACGGGUGAGUAAUGUCUGGGAAACUGCCUGAUGGAGGGGGAUAACUACUGGAAACGGUAGCUAAUACCGCAUACCAUCAGAUGUGCCCAGAUGGGAUUAGCUAGUAGGGGGGGUAAGGGCUCACCUAGGCGACGAUCCCUAGCUGGUAUGAGAGGAGGACCAGCAAACCUGGAACUGAGACACGGCCCAGACUCCUACGGGAGGCAGCAGUGGGGAAUAGUGAGCAAGGGGCGCAAGCCUGAUGCAGCCAGGCCGCGUGUGUGAAGAAGGCCUUCGGGUUGUAAAGCACUUGCAGCGAGGAGGCGUUACUCGCAGAAGAAGCACCGGCUAACUCCGUGCCAGCAGCCGCGGUAAUAC